ensembl:miRNA mir9a-3 microRNA mir-9a-3
GAAUGAAGGAGGUCGUUUUUGUCUUUGGUUAUCUAGCUGUAUGAGUGUUAAAUACCUGUCAUAAAGCUAGAUAACCGAAAGUAGAAAUGACUUUUACUAUAUUU